AUUGAACGCUGGCGGCAUGCUUUACACAUGCAAGUCGAACGGCAGCGCGGGCUUCGGCCUGGCGGCGAGUGGCGAACGGGUGAGUAAUACAUCGGAAUGUGCCCAGUAGUGGGGGAUAGCUCGGCGAAAGCCGGAUUAAUACCGCAUACGACCUGAGGGUGAAAGCGGGGGAUCUUCGGACCUCGCGCUAUUGGAGCGGCCGAUGGCAGAUUAGCUAGUUGGUGGGGUAAAGGCCUACCAAGGCGACGAUCUGUAGCUGGUCUGAGAGGACGACCAGCCACACUGGGACUGAGACACGGCCCAGACUCCUACGGGAGGCAGCAGUGGGGAAUGUUGGGCAAUGGGCGAAAGCCUGAUCCAGCAAUGCCGCGUGUGUGAUGAAGGCCUUCGGGUUGUAAAGCACUUUUGGCGGGAACGAAAAGGACUGUGCCAAUACCACGGUUCGAUGACGGUACCCGCAGAAUAAGCACCGGCUAACUACGUG
rnacentral:rRNA from 1 species